AUUGAACGCUGGCGGCAGGCUUAACACAUGCAAGUCGAGCGGGGAAGGGUAGCUUGCUACCUAACCUAACGGCGGACGGGUGAGUAAUGCUUAGGAAUCUGCCAUUUAGUGGGGGACAACAUUCCGAAAGGAAUGCUAAUACCGCAUACGUCCUACGGGAGAAAGCAGGGGAUCUUCGGACCUUGCGCUAAAUGAUGAGCCUAAGUCGGAUUAGCUAGUUGGUGGGGGUAAAGGCCUACCAAGGCGACGAUCUGUAGCGGGUCUGAGAGGAUGAUCCGCCACACUGGGACUGAGACACGGCCCAGACUCCUACGGGAGGCAGCAGUGGGGAAUAUUGGACAAUGGGCGGAAGCCUGAUCCAGCCAUGCCGCGUGUGUGAAGAAGGCCUUAUGGUUGUAAAGCACUUUAAGCGAGGAGGAGGCUACUUAGAUUAAUACUCUAGGAUAGUGGACGUUACUCGCAGAAUAAGCACCGGCUAACUCUGUGCCAGCAGGCGCGGUAACAC
rnacentral:rRNA from 1 species